rnacentral:rRNA from 1 species
CCUACGGGAGGCAGCAGUGGGGAAUUUUGGACAAUGGGCGCAAGCCUGAUCCAGCAAUGCCGCGUGAGUGAAGAAGGCCUUCGGGUUGUAAAGCUCUUUUGUCAGGGAAGAAACGGUUGGGGCUAAUAUCCUCAGCUAAUGACGGUACCUGAAGAAUAAGCACCGGCUAACUACGUGCCAGCAGCCGCGGUAAUACGUAGGGUGCAAGCGUUAAUCGGAAUUACUGGGCGUAAAGCGUGCGCAGGCGGUUUUGUAAGUCUGUCGUGAAAGCCCCGGGCUUAACCUGGGAAUUGCGAUGGAGACUGCAAGGCUUGAAUCUGGCAGAGGGGGGUAGAAUUCCACGUGUAGCAGUGAAAUGCGUAGAGAUGUGGAGGAACACCGAUGGCGAAGGCAGCCCCCUGGGUCAAGAUUGACGCUCAUGCACGAAAGCGUGGGGAGCAAACAGGAUUAGAUACCCUGGUAGUCCACGCCCUAAACGAUGUCUACUAGUUGUCGGGUCUUAAUUGACUUGGUAACGCAGCUAACGCGUGAAGUAGACCGCCUGGGGAGUACGGUCGCAAGAAUUAAACUCAAAUGAAUUGACGG